rnacentral:rRNA from 1 species
CAAUGGACGCAAGUCUGACCCAGCCAUGCCGCGUGCAGGAUGACUGCCCUAUGGGUUGUAAACUGCUUUUGUUUGGGAAGAAACCCCCGAUCGUGAUCGGGGCUGACGGUACCAUACGAAUAAGCAUCGGCUAACUCCGUGCCAGCAGCCGCGGUAAUACGGAGGAUGCAAGCGUUAUCCGGAUUCAUUGGGUUUAAAGGGUGCGCAGGCGGAAUAUUAAGUCAGUGGUGAAAUCCUGCAGCUUAACUGUAGAACUGCCAUUGAUACUGAUAUUCUUGAAUAUAGUUGAGGUGGGCGGAAUGUGUAAUGUAGCGGUGAAAUGCUUAGAUAUUACACAGAACACCAAUUGCGAAGGCAGCUCACUAAACUAAUAUUGACGCUGAGGCACGAAAGCGUGGGUAGCAAACAGGAUUAGAUACCCUGGUAGUCCACGCUGUAAACUAUGAUCACUCGCUGUUGGCAAUACAUCGUCAGCGGCUGAGCGAAAGCAUUAAGUGAUCCACCUGGGGAGUACGGUCGCAAGAUUGAAACUCAAAGGAAUUGACGGGGGCCCGCACAAGCGGAGGAACAUGUGGUUUAAUUCGAUGAUACGCGAGGAACCUUACCUGGGCUUAAAUGCAGAGCGACGUCCGCCGAAAGGUGGAUUCCUUCGGGCGAUCUGCAAGGUGCUGCAUGGUUGUCGUCAGCUCGUGCCGUGAGGUGUCGGGUUAAGUCCCAUAACGAGCGCAACCCUUAUCGUUAGUUGCCAGCGGGUAAUGCCGGGGACUCUAACGAAACUGCCGGUGUAAACCGUGAGGAAGGUGGGGAUGACGUCAAAUCAGCACGGCCCUUAUGUCCAGGGCUACACACGUGUUACAAUGGUCGGUACAGAGGGCAGCUACCACGCAAGUGGAUGCUAAUCUCGAAAACCGGUCUCAGUUCGGAUUGAAGUCUGCAACUCGACUUCAUGAAGCUGGAUUCGCUAGUAAUCGCGCAUCA